rnacentral:rRNA from 1 species
UACGUAGGGUGCGAGCGUUAAUCGGAAUUACUGGGCGUAAAGCGUGCGCAGGCGGUUGUGUAAGUCAGGUGUGAAAUCCCCGGGCUUAACCUGGGAACUGCGCUUGUGACUGCACAACUAGAGUACGGCAGAGGGGGGUGGAAUUCCACGUGUAGCAGUGAAAUGCGUAGAUAUGUGGAGGAACACCGAUGGCGAAGGCAGCCCCCUGGGCCUGUACUGACGCUCAUGCACGAAAGCGUGGGGAGCAAACAGG